UACGGAGGGGGCUAGCGUUGUUCGGAAUUACUGGGCGUAAAGCGCGCGUAGGCGGCUUUGUAAGUUAGAGGUGAAAGCCCGGAGCUCAACUCCGGAACUGCCUUUAAGACUGCAUCGCUAGAAUUGUGGAGAGGUAAGUGGAAUUCCGAGUGUAGAGGUGAAAUUCGUAGAUAUUCGCAAGAACACCAGUGGCGAAGGCGGCUCACUGGCCCGGUACUGACGCUGAGGCACGAAAGCGUGGGGAGCAAACAGG
rnacentral:rRNA from 1 species